UACGGAAGGCAGCAGUGGGGAAUAUUGCACAAUGGGCGCAAGCCUGAUGCAGCCAUGCCGCGUGUAUGAAGAAGGCCUUCGGGUUGUAAAGUACUUUCAGUCGUGAGGAAGGUGUUAAGGUUAAUAACCUUAGCAAUUGACGUUAGCGACAGAAGAAGCACCGGCUAACUCCGUGCCAGCAGCCGCGGUAAUACGGAGGGUGCGAGCGUUAAUCGGAAUUACUGGGCGUAAAGGGCACGCAGGCGGUUAAUUAAGUUGGAUGUGAAAUCCCCGGGCUUAACCUGGGAAUGGCAUUCAAGACUGGUUAGCUAGAGUCUUGUAGAGGGGGUAGAAUUCCAUGUGUAGCGGUGAAAUGCGUAGAGAUGUGGAGGAAUACCGGUGGCGAAGGCGGCCCCUGGACAAAGGCUGACGCUCAUGUGCGAAAGCGUGGGGAGCGAAACAGGGAUUAGAUACCCGG
rnacentral:rRNA from 1 species